rnacentral:rRNA from 1 species
AAACCAAGAAAUUUAGUCAUUCUUUUACGGUAAAAAGACAGUUAAGCAGGAUCUAUAUAGAUCAUUAGACCUUCAGUACAGGAGUAAAAUCUAGAUACUGAAAGUUAUACCUAAGAUGGAUGUUUAUGGUGCUGAGUCUGUGAUAGCUUUAAGGGAAACUGGGAUUGGAUACCCCACUAUUUUUAGUUGUAAAUAUAGUUUGAGCUUACCAGAGUACUACGAAUAAAAAGUUUAAAACUCAAAGGGCUUGGCGGUGUUUUAGACCCCUCAGGGGAACCUGUCUCGUAAUCGACAAUCCACGUUAGACCUAACCUUCUGUGGUAAGUCAGCCUGUAUACCGUCGUCGUCAGGUAACUUCUAAAAAUAUAGUAGUUAGCUCGAGAAUUUUUAAUUAAUACGUCAGAUCAAGGUGCAGCUAAUAAGAGGGUGAGGAUGGGUUACAAUUACAAAUUCGUAAUUACGGAAGGAGACUUGAAAUUAAGUGUCCUAAAGGAGGACUUGAAAGUAAUUUUGGUUAUAUAAACAGAAUGAAUAGGGCUCUGAAACGUG